CCUACGGGUGGCAGCAGUAGGGAAUAUUGCUCAAUGGGGGAAACCCUGAAGCAGCAACGCCGCGUGGAGGAUGAAGGUUUUCGGAUUGUAAACUCCUGUUGUUAGAGAAGAGAAUGACGGUAUCUAACGAAUAAACACCGGCUAACUCCGGGCCAGCAGCCGCGGUAAUACGGAGGGUGCAAGGGUUAGUCGGAAUCACUGGGCGUAAAGAGCGCGUAGGCGGGAUAGCAAGUCAGAUGUGAAAUACUAUGGCUUAACCAUAGAAAUGCAUUUGAAACUGUUAUUCUAGAGUAUAGGAGAGGUAGGUGGAAUUCUUGGUGUAGGGGUAAAAUCCGUAGAGAUUAAGAGGAAUACUAAUUGCGAAGGCGACCUGCUAGACCAUAACUGACGCUGAUGCGCGAAAGCGUGGGGAGCAAACAGGAUUAGAUACCCGUGUAGUC
rnacentral:rRNA from 1 species